CUUAUUAGUUAGAUGUCAUUAUUUUACAAGCCGUAACUGAUCAAACAUGAGUACUGGCUGAAGUGAUGAUGCCUGAUUAGCAAG
ensembl:miRNA gga-mir-1799 gga-mir-1799